rnacentral:rRNA from 1 species
CUCAGGAUGAACGCUGGGCGGCGUGCUUAACACAUGCAAGUCGAACGAUGAAGCCCAGCUUGCUGGGUGGAUUAGUGGCGAACGGGUGAGUAACACGUGAGUAACCUGCCCCUGACUCUGGGAUAAGCCCGGGAAACUGGGUCUAAUACCGGAUAUGACCAUGGGACGCAUGUCUUGUGGUGGAAAGAUUUAUCGGUUGGGGAUGGACUCGCGGCCUAUCAGCUUGUUGGUGAGGUAAUGGCUCACCAAGGCGACGACGGGUAGCCGGCCUGAGAGGGUGACCGGCCACACUGGGACUGAGACACGGCCCAGACUCCUACGGGAGGCAGCAGUGGGGAAUAUUGCACAAUGGGCGCAAGCCUGAUGCAGCGACGCCGCGUGAGGGAUGACGGCCUUCGGGUUGUAAACCUCUUUCAGUAGGGAAGAAGCGAGAGUGACGUACCUGCAGAAGAA